AACUGAUACUACCUGCGGGAACCUGCGGAAGGAUCAUUGCUGGAACGCGCCCCAGGCGCACCCAGAAACCCUUUGUGAACUUAUACCUUACUGUUGCCUCGGCGCAUGCCGGCCCCCAGGGGCCCCUCGGAGACGAGGAGCAGGCACGCCGGCGGCCAACCUAACUCUUGUUUUUACACUGAAACUCUGAGAAAAAAAACAAAAUGAAUCAAAACUUUUAGCAACGGAUCUCUAGAUCGG
rnacentral:misc_RNA from 1 species